AUUGAACGCUGGCGGCAGGCCUAACACAUGCAAGUCGAACGAGUGGCGAACGGGUGAGUAAUGUCUGGGAAACUGCCUGAUGGAGGGGGAUAACUACUGGAAACGGUAGCUAAUACCGCAUACCAUCGGAUGUGCCCAGAUGGGAUGAGCUAGUAGGUGGGGUAAAGGCUCACCUAGGCGACGAUCCCUAGCUGGUCUGAGAGGAUGACCAGCCACACUGGAACUGAGACACGGUCCAGACUCCUACGGGAGGCAGCAGUGGGGAAUAUUGCGCAAUGGGCGCAAGUCUGAUGCAGCCAGGCCGCGUGUAUGAAGAAGGCCUUCGGGUUGUAAAGUACUUUCAGCGGGGAGGCGUUACCCACAGAAGAAGCACCGGCUAACUCCGUGCCAGCAGCCGCGGUAAUUC
rnacentral:rRNA from 1 species